AGAAGCCUCCCCCUGGACCGCCCAUCCCACCCCUCCUCCUAUUCACCUGACGCACACUGAGCCAGGUGCAUCUACUGGGCCCAGCGCCACGGCCCUCUGCACCACAGCUUUUAAUGGCACCAUCUAGUUUCACAUCUCACUUUGGUAUAUUUUGCUGCAUAUGAAGUAAGACACAGGCAACUCAGCCGACAGUCAGGGAUCUCCUGUUCUUAGUCUCACUCCCAUUCCUGCCAUAAUUUCCCCAAACAUCCCCCAACAGCAUGGCGGGGGCCAAUCCAAACCUUUGCCAUCACCCCUGAGUUUCUAGGAAGCACCCUGUGCCCCUUCUUCCUGGAAUAUUGUUCUGCUCACCUUCUCCAGGUGUUCGCAUCCCUCAAGGACAUUCCUGCUUCGACUCUGCAGGAAGGAGCUGUGCUCUCGGCCCCAUUAUCUGCGCCCCCUCAAUGCACGCAGCUCCCCCCCGCCGCCACCGUUUGUUUAUUUUCUACAGGUCUAUUAGUGCAAUGAAGUCCUUGAGGGCACUUCUGUGUCUGAUCUGCUUUCUGGCCCCACCAGUCCCCUCCGAAUCAGGAUGUGCCACCGGGAGCCUGGGCAAUGCCCACUUCGGUGAGGUGGCAUGUCUGGGCAUGUGGGGCCUCCCAGAGCCGUCUGGGAAGGAGCCCGUCCCCAGAGGUGAGGCGAACAGCAUGGCCCCUUACAAGGCCUCAGUCACGACGCUGCACUUGGGUUUUGGGAAGAGCCUAAUGUUGGCUUUCAGCUGUGUCUCCCCGCCCCAGAGCUGUUUACUAAAAAAAUCGAGAAGGCACAGGAACACUCACGGCACAAUUUUACCAUCCCUGGGCAAACACUGGGAGUGGAGAAGAAGCAUCUUCUCUAGACUCUGAAGGGCUCCCAGGGGAGGGACACAGGCCUGAUGCUUGGGGUGGCUCAAGGAGGCAGUUCAUCAAAACCUCAUGGGACCCGCAGAAAAUAAAAAAAAAGACUGCAGGUGUUACCCGAGACCUCACUGUUUAUUAGUGAACACAUGCGAGAUACCUCUCGGGACCCCGCGGAAGUAAUAUGUGGGGGGCGGGGAACUGCAGAGCCUGGAGGUUCUGCAGGAGCAGGUGGGGAUGGAGGCAGGGAUAAUAUUUCAGGAAUGGGGCUAUGAGAGCGUCAGCCGUGUGUGCAAAAGAAAUGUUUCAAAGCACAUACAGGUUUGGGGCGCUGUGAUUAAUUAGUUCUGCGAGGUCUCUGGGUUCUAUAAACACAGUCUCACAACCUUGAGUCUUGUCACUCUAGGAUUAACCUGCCUCCUGGGGCCUCCGUCCCUUCUCACGUUCCAUUUUCUAUGUUCUUAAACCCUCCCACCCCCAGGUGUUACAACUAUUUGCAUCACCUCCUCUAAGCUUGCUACAAAUAAAUCUGUGGAGUCAUAGGGGCCCAUGUCACCACUCAGAAGCUUUUGUUUGUCAUUUCGAGAACGGCAAAUAUCAGGAGUGGGCAAAGGAUAAACCCAUGAUGUUCGUCCCUGGUGUCUGGGAGCUGGGGGAGAGGGUGGCAGGAGAGGGAGGGAACGGGGCAGACAGACCGGCCUGCCUUGCUGCUCCUCCUUGCUCAGGCCUGAUGAUUAUUAACUGCGUGUGUGCACUGACACAAUUUGCUAGUUUUCUGAGUAGGCGAAUUGCGCUUAGUCAUCUUGGCAUUUUUAAAUGUAAAUGAAAAAUCACCCGGUGCUCUGAGCCAGAAGCGAGAAAGAUAAAUAACACCAGGAAGCUGGUCGUUGCCCGUCUGUCAUAAAAUUUCAUUAGUUGUGACAGCCUGUACAACACCAGCAAUGAAUGAUGCUAACUGUACCUCCUCGCCUCAGCCACUCCCAGAAGUUACUGGCGCUGCAAGGGCCAGGGGGGGUGCCACCUGCCGGGGUGCUGGGAUGAAGGGCACGCAAGCCUUCGCCAGCCAGGGAUGGCCACCGUGCAGGGGGACGUGGUUCAGUCAUGACACACCACCCCCGCCCUGCGCCCGGCAGUGGCCUCAGAGCCUCCCUGUCCACGUGGGACGGCGCUCUCCUGGGACUCACUCAUCGAGCAAAUAUCUCCUGGUUCUUCCACACGCCAGGCACUGAGGGCUGCAGGGUUAAGAAUCUGUCCAAUCAAUACGGGGAUGGCGCCAAGUGCCCGGAAAACGCAGCAGGAGAGGGGAGGGAGCCCUGGCGAGGCUGGGUGAAGGGCAGCGGCGAGCUGUCACUCACGUCACUCAGGUCCUGGAAAUCGGGGAUGGCCUGGGAGGCCUGAGUCUCUUGGGGUAACUGACAUAAAGAUAAAGGCGUCCUGCCUUCUCUCCUCUUCCCACUCGGAACAAACCAGAGUGAUAGCCGUCAAGUGGGUCAGGACAAGGGGGGGCAUCUGUGCGGAAACCGGAGGGAAACGGUAGCCUGAGGUCGGAGCUGGUGAGGAGGACGUCCUCACAAGGGGACGCCCAGCCCUGUGGGGAGGGGGAGUUACCCGUGGGGCACUGAGCAAACAAGUAAUACAUGAAGGAAGUGGGGGCCUGGCCUCACUGUCAGAGAAGGGAGGACAUACGGGGAAAGGGAGGAAAGCCCUAAAACCAACCCUGUGCUGCUGGAUGGGAACCGGGGGAUCAGAGGGAAUGUGUGGUUUUCAACUGUAGAAACCAGUGCGCAGAAAUCAGUACAGACGAACAUACACAGUCCAUUGCUGUGCCACUGAGAGAGCUUGGGGAGCAAAUCUUGGGCAGAAGAACAGGUAAUAUAGAAAAAAAAAUGCACCUUCCUGCUCAUGGGGUGGCUGGUAACAUAAAAGCCUAUAGAUGUCUGUGGUAUCUUUGCCACCAUAAAGGGAGAGGCCGCCUGGGACUGAAGCAGACACCGAAGGAGGAAAGCACAGAGACAGAAUCCCAAAAGCAUCCUUCGAACCCCUGGAUCCAGCCAUGCCUGAAGCUAAGUGAACACAUUUCUUCCUCCCUCCCUUUUUUAUUUAAACCAGGACUAUUCAAACUGCUGUCACUUGCAAGGAAAGAGUUCUGAUUAUUAAUUCUCUCAAAUUCCUGAUGAUUGGUCUUUGUUAAAUCACAACCUCAAAUAUUUUGAGCACCCUAGUUUUUUUAAAGACAUCUGCAUUCUGCUGUGGUCAUUCACUUAGCAAAUAUUUACUUAGUGUCUACUACAUGCCAAGUGCCAAUCUAGGUUCUUGCGUGCCAUCAGUGAGUGAAAGCUGACAAGAGUCUCUAGCCUGUGAAAGUGGAGAGAUACAGUAAACACCACCCAAUAACUAGAUAAAGAGAAGAGUGUAAAUGCUGGCAGGGGGGUGGUUGGAAAAGAAAAGGUAGACCACAGUAAGGGGUGACCGACAUUCCAAUGCAGGAAGUGGGACUUGCCAUUUUAAAUACAGUGGUCAGGGGAGGAUGUCACAGUGACAUCUCAGCAAAGCCCAGAGGAGGAGGGGACAAGUUGGUCUGGGAGAGGAGGGAACUGCCAGGGCAAAGGCCCAGAGGCAGAAGCAGGUCUGGGGUGUUCCAGGUACCGACGGAAGUUACUGGGGCUAGAGCGGGGGGCAGGCAGCCAGAGGGUCCUAACGGGAGACGCUGGGGCAAAUCGGGUCGGACCGUGAAGGCACCUGAAACCCUCAGCUUUGACUCUGCCAGGAGUCACCGUCACAUCUUUUAAGCAGGAAAUGGCAGGGUCUCAAGUGUUAAAAGGCUCACUUUGGCUGUUUGUUGAGAAUGGACAGGACUGGGGGGGGGGCACCCAGGUGGGAGAUGUUGGGGGCUCAGGCCAGAGCCCAUCCCGGGAGGAGUGAGCAAGGACCUGAGGGCUUCGUGCCAGAGCAAGUCCCAUCACGAGGGAAGGAGAAAAGGUGAAUCCUGCCUUCCUGUUACCAUGAAAAGAAUUUCCAUCUUUUUUUAUCAGACACCCGCCAAGGGUCCCGGGGUCCCCCGGAGGGGCCAGGCCACACUCUGCGCACCACCGGUGUAGAGAGAGGCUCCCGGGGACGGACACAGCGGGAACAGCCGCGGGAGAGGCCUGUGGGAAGGAGAGCAGGAGGGCCGCUCCUAGAAGGGGCUGCGUGCAGAGGCCUCGCGCAGGCCUUUCAGGGCCGAGCUCUUGUGGCAAACGGCGGCGCCGCCACCUCGACGGGCGGGUCGUGUGCAGAAGCGCCCGAGAACCCGGCCACACCUGCACCUGGCGGCAGGGCGCCGAGUGCAGAGAUGCUGCACCUGGCACGGUGCUCGGCCGCGUGAGCCGUGCUGCGCCUGCGCCUGCCGGCGGAAACCCCGCCCCCCGAGACCCCGCCCGCCCCCGAACCCCCUCCCCCGGGGCAGACUGACCCACCAAGGAGCCCGGCCCAUGGCAUGCCAGAAGGCUUGCCAUGGCUUUCAAAGCUUUCAGAGUUCCAGUUCUGGCUCAGCGGUAGCAAACCCGACUAGUACCCAUGAGGUUGCGGGUUAGAUCCCUGGCCUUGCUCAGUGGGUUAAGGAUCUGGCCUUGUCCUGAACCGUGUUGUGGGCUGCAGAUGCCUCCUGGAUCCUGAGUUGCUGAGGCUGCGGCGUGGGCCGGUAGCUGCAGCUCUGAUUCAGUCCCUAACCUGGGUACAUCCAUAUGCCACGGGGAGGAGCGGGGGCAGCCGAAAAAUAAAAAUAAAACAUUUUAAGAAAUUAAGAGCUAGACAGAAAAAAGAUCAAAAUUAGUUACCUAUAGUUGAUGGAAUUACAGAUGAUUUUUAGAUUGCCAUCCUUUUGCUUUUUUUCCCUUAUUUUCUACAAUUAAUAUGAAUACUCUAGUAACAAGAAGACAACAGAGCUAUAAGGUUGCCCUCUGCCCAUACAAUGCACGGAGCCUGCGAGGAGCAGUAGAAAGUGGCAUCUAUCACUCUUUAUGACUUAAUUACAUGCACCUCUAUUUUUUCCUACCUAUAUCUUUCUCCUUUUCUUUUUCUUCCUCAAAGAGAUGUUGUAGAAGCAAAAAUGGAGCUACAGAUGGCUAGAUUAAGCUAGAUUCUUUGAUUAAUGUACUUGGAAUACUUUAUUCAGAUCAGCUUCAUGUCUAAAACAAUGGAAGAGAAGAGGUUAUGAAAAUAGAUGAGAUUGGACAGCGAAAUAAUGAAACUUGAAUUGUUUUUUCAGUACCAAAACAUAUCCGGAACUCCUCUCGAGUUCUUCGGAGUUGAAGUCACAUUUCUUAAGGAGCUUCAGGAACAUAAAUCUUCCCGCUUUGAGGCUGAAUUUCAUUUUUGGAAACAACUAAAAAUUAUCCAGAGCCAAUUCUGAUGAAUAAGGUGGUUGAUGGAGCAGGAAACUAUUUUUGGGGUUAAAAAUGAGGUGCAAUUGUAGAGCGAUGAGAUAGAAAAUAUAAACUAGCUCAGAGGUAAUUCCAAAGUGGAAUUCUUUAAGCCUUUUGAGGCUCUUCGGUGGGGCAAAAACGUAGAGCCCUUCGAGUGAGUAUUGUGAGAGAAGAGCCAUUUAUCAUCAUUCCUGCCCGUUUCUCUCACCAAACGGGGAUAUAACAGCCUCAGCCCCAUACGUCUUAAGCCCACCUCCAAUCUCUCCCCAGGGGACCCUCUCACUUGGCACCUCCCUGCGCCCUCUUCCCCUCUAGAAAGUGGUUUGAAAUUCUGUCCUCUCCUCACAGAACUGAGUUCCAUCAUUCAUGAUGGUCAACUCUCCACACAUCAUUAAAAUUAAAAUUGGGGCAUCCUGAUGUCUCUGGACAGGAUCACCAGCCAAUGAUUCCAGCAGCUUCCAUCCUCUGAAUCCCUGUCUCAGCAACGAAGGAGCCAUCAUGCCUUGUUCACUAAAACCAGCCCAGGGGUGGCAGCCGUCUCUGGGCUGGGCUCCCCCUCUUCCUAGGAUGCGUGUGGGCUCCUGGGUCAUUUUCUACCUGCAAUUUUCUCUCUGUGCAGCUGGAACCUGGGGGCCAGAGAAACUGGCCCAGUUCAUGCCAGAUAGUGCCUCUUCGAAGCUUCGGACUUGCAGUGGUUUCUUCGCAUCGCAAACCCAGGCCACCACCCUCUCAGGGUCCCCUUUCCAAUAGGACGCCCUGGGGCGGCGGGGGGCCAGGCCCUGGGCCCGUCUUCUGGACUCUUUGGGUGAGGAGUAAACCAGCCUGGGGGAGCGCAGCUGAGCUGAGCAGGGUCAGAGCCCAAAUGGGGCCCCGAGGCUCCAUCUCCUCCAUGCAGAGCAGAACGUCAGGACAGGGCAGGUUGGCACAAAGUAAAUAAACCCCAGCCUAAAAAUUCCAUCAAGUUUUGACAAAUUUCUGUUUCAAGAAAGGAAAAGGAACGAGUGGGGCGUGCAGGGUUGGGAGGCUGCACUGGCCGUGCGUCUCCUUCACCAGCCUCAGUGUGAUCGGGUGGUGGAACUUGGUUCUGGUUUCAGCAGACAGGAUUCAUUUCAAAGGCUCCCUUUUUUUUGGUCAAACUGAGUUUAUAAACACAGCUAUUUGCUAAUAAAUGUGAC
rnacentral:lncRNA from 1 species